rnacentral:rRNA from 1 species
UACGUAGGGUGCGAGCGUUGUCCGGAAUUACUGGGCGUAAAGAGCUCGUAGGUGGUUUGUCGCGUUGUUCGUGAAAACUCACAGCUUAACUGUGGGCGUGCGGGCGAUACGGGCAGACUGGAGUACUGCAGGGGAGACUGGAAUUCCUGGUGUAGCGGUGGAAUGCGCAGAUAUCAGGAGGAACACCGGUGGCGAAGGCGGGUCUCGUGGGCAGUGAACUGACGCUGGAGGAGCGAAGGCCAGGGGAGCAAACGGG